AGUGAACGCUGGCGGUAGGCCUAACACAUGCAAGUCGAACGGCAGCACAGGAGAGCUUGCUCUCUGGGUGGCGAGUGGCGGACGGGUGAGGAAUACAUCGGAAUCUACUCUGUCGUGGGGGAUAACGUAGGGAAACUUACGCUAAUACCGCAUACGACCUACGGGUGAAAGCAGGGGACCUUCGGGCCUUGCGCGAUUGAAUGAGCCGAUGUCGGAUUAGCUAGUUGGCGGGGUAAAGGCCCACCAAGGCGACGAUCCGUAGCUGGUCUGAGAGGAUGAUCAGCCACACUGGAACUGAGACACGGUCCAGACUCCUACGGGAGGCAGCAGUGGGGAAUAUUGGACAAUGGGCGCAAGCCUGAUCCAGCCUUACCGCGUGGGUGAAGAAGGCCUUCGGGUUGUAAAGCCCUUUUGUUGGGAAAGAAAUCCAGCUGGCUAAUACCCGGUUGGGAUGACGGUACCCAAAGAAUAAGCACCGGCUGACUUCGUGCCAGCCGCCGCCGUAA
rnacentral:rRNA from 1 species